rnacentral:ncRNA from 2 species
CGAUGAGGUAGAGGUCGCGGUAUUAAAAAGUAAAAUGGAUGAGACGAAAAGCGUCGGGGAUUCUAUUUGAAAGGGAAUAUCGCCGAAGUGAUUAUAAGCUUUUUCUUAUAAUCAUUGGGGCUGUUGCCGAAAGGUGCAGAACUGUCACGUCUUAGCAGGCGUGUUGAGCUAUCUUUAUC